rnacentral:rRNA from 1 species
UACGUAGGGUGCGAGCGUUGUCCGGAAUUAUUGGGCGUAAAGAGCUCGUAGGUGGUUUGUCGCGUUGUCCGUGAAAACUCACAGCUCAACUGUGGGCGUGCGGGCGAUACGGGCAGGCUAGAGUUCGGUAGGGGAGACUGGAAUUCCUGGUGUAGCGGUGAAAUGCGCAGAUAUCAGGAGGAACACCGGUGGCGAAGGCGGGUCUCUGGGCCGAUACUGACGCUGAGGAGCGAAAGCGUGGGGAGCGAACAGG